rnacentral:rRNA from 1 species
AUGUCGUUGAGAUUACAAGUGGAGAUAAACAUAAACUCAAACACAGCAGAGGACGACCAGCGCUACCACGGCCGCGGCGGGGAGGGCGACGGCCAAGGCAGAGCCCGCCCGCUGCUCCAUUGCUGCGGCCCACUCCUGGAUCCCUGCAACGAGCGCCGGGAACGCGGAUGCGAGGAAGCGGAACAGCUCGGCAAGCUUCUUCAAUACAAUGUCCCACGGGAUGGGAUGCCCGUCGUGUCCUUGGAGGAGGACGGAGUCGAAAGCUCCCUGCACCGUGACGAGCUUUCUAAUCCUUGGCGCCGCCAUCUUCGUGGGUCUUGGCCGCCUGAUUAG